UGACAAAAGCCAGCUGCUUCAGCCCCCGGUGUCGCGGCGCGUUCCGGGCUGGCGGCCGCAGCCGUGCACACACAUGUUCCCCUGCAAAACCCACAUAAACAGGCAUGGGUGCGCACGGCGGGGACAGAGGUUUGGUCUGAUUUGAUUUAUGUAUAACAGCGCGUAUAAAGCUUUUCAAGGUGGCUGCAAUGUAAAAAGUAAUGACUUUAUUACCUCUGAAAGGUUCUGUGGUUCGCAUUUAACAGUCCUCUGAAUUACAAUUCAUUACACAGUUGUGAGCUCUCUAAAGCCAACAUACAUCAGAAUACCUAUCUGUGGUUAUUCCCAAUAAAUAGCAGGCAACAUUUUAUUGAUUUUCUUUAAAAAAUCAUAGCGAAUUAAGCACUCAGUUACAAGUAAAUCUGUUUUAUUAUUGCACUAUAUCCGAGAUUCCAGAGGUGACUUCCCAGACCACGUCUUAAAACAUACAUUCAAAAGCGAUUUUUACAGACGCUUUCGUGAAUGGCAGCGAGAAUGUUUCUACCAUUAGCGUGCCCUUAAUUUCAGCGCCGUAAAAUGCCUCGAAUUCAAUGGAAACUCGCUCCCUUCAAACCGUAUUUCAUCCCGGCCGGAUAAUUAUUAAUAUUGGCAUCUGAUCACAAUAGUGCCGUGCUCCCCCUCCGCCCCCCCAGCACUUUGCAUUGUCAUGUGAUUGGAGGGAGAUAACAAACCUCAAGAAAGAAAAGGAGUCAGAAGACAUUUUUAACGUGCUCUAACCACAGAUUAAUAAUGCAGCCUCCCUCCUUGCCCCGGCCCCAUAGGAUGCUCCACAGGCAUCCUGCCAUGGUGGGAGCGGCUGUCGUCCUGGCCACYCCGGCACUAGUGGCUCCCGCACUCCCGGCCCCGGAGCAAAGUCAGCAGGAGGAAACGUGGCCCCCCAGCUCAGCUGCACCCGGGCAGCCCCGAGGUACGUGCUGAAACCAAGGCCACGGUGGGUUUCAGGCUGCCUGCACAAGGUAAGUCAGCCCCCCAGAAGGGUCUGCCCCACGCGCUGAGCAGCUGUCGCCGUUACAAAGCGAGAGCUUCCUCCAAGACAGCGGGGAUGGACACUGCAGCCCCGUCAGCUGUCCCGCGUCCACUUGCCACAAGCGAGUCAGAGCCCUUCAGCCUCCAGGCAGUGGAGCGAGCGCCCGAGGGCAGAGGGUAGCUCCCUGUCCCGCUCCACCGCCCCGGGAGCAGGGGCAGUAACCUGCGGCAGCAAGGCAGGGUGGACAGGUGAGAACAUUCAUGUUGCAAAUGUUAAUUUAAGAUGUAAAUCUGCCAAAAUUUGUCUGUCCCUCUUCUCAUGCCUCAGCUCUCUGUCUGAGAAGUAGUGUGUUCCUGCCCCCAUUCAAGCUCACAAGAUGUUCAGAGGUCGCUGUAUCGAGGGACAUGAACUGCCUAAAAUUGAGGAGUWUGGCCUUUCUCCAGCUUACGCACGGGCACGCGGUCUUCUCAUGCAGGACUGGGACCUGAAGUUGCAAAGGGGUGCAAUACAGUUAAUACUGCAUACUGCUGUCGCGCGGGGCAGGUAUUAACUCUGGGUCUAUGGCAAACAGAUUUAUUGAGGAUGGCAAUGCGGUAUAGUCAUAGCAAGCAAAUCUUACUGCACGUUUGUUAGUGCCCGGGUCUCGGUUUCUUACCUCUCCAACAGUUUCUGGUCAGAUGUGCUCCUAAUUCCCGGAGCGUGACGGUAAGAG
ensembl:lncRNA